UACGUAGGGUGCGAGCGUUGUCCGGAAUUACUGGGCGUAAAGCGCGCGCAGGCGGUUCUUCAAGUCAGUGGUGAAAGCCCGGAGCUCAACUCCGGAAAUGCCAUUGAAACUGUAGAACUUGAGGACGAGAGAGGUGAGUGGAAUUCCCAGUGUAGAGGUGAAAUUCGUAGAUAUUGGGAAGAACACCGGUGGCGAAGGCGGCUCACUGGCUCGUUUCUGACGCUCAGGCGCGAUAGCGUGGGGAUCAAACAGG
rnacentral:rRNA from 1 species